GAUAAACGCUGGCGGCGUGCCUAAUACAUGCAAGUCGAGCGAACGGACGAGAAGCUUGCUUCUCUGAUGUUAGCGGCGGACGGGUGAGUAACACGUGGAUAACCUACCUAUAAGACUGGGAUAACUUCGGGAAACCGGAGCUAAUACCGGAUAAUAUUUUGAACCGCAUGGUUCAAAAGUGAAAGACGGUCUUGCUGUCACUUAUAGAUGGAUCCGCGCUGCAUUAGCUAGUUGGUAAGGUAACGGCUUACCAAGGCAACGAUGCAUAGCCGACCUGAGAGGGUGAUCGGCCACACUGGAACUGAGACACGGUCCAGACUCCUACGGGAGGCGGCAGUAGGGAAUCUUCCGCAAUGGGCGAAAGCCUGACGGAGCAACGCCGCGUGAGUGAUGAAGGUCUUCGGAUCGUAAAACUCUGUUAUUAGGGAAGAACAUAUGUGUAAGUAACUGUGCACAUCUUGACGGUACCUAAUCAGAAAGCCACGGCUAACUACGUGCCAGCAGCCGCGGUAAUACGUAGGUGGCAAGCGUUAUCCGGAAUUAUUGGGCGUAAAGCGCGCGUAGGCGGUUUUUUAAGUCUGAUGUGAAAGCCCACGGCUCAACCGUGGAGGGUCAUUGGAAACUGGAAAACUUGAGUGCAGAAGAGGAAAGUGGAAUUCCAUGUGUAGCGGUGAAAUGCGCAGAGAUAUGGAGGAACACCAGUGGCGAAGGCGACUUUCUGGUCUGUAACUGACGCUGAUGUGCGAAAGCGUGGGGAUCAAACAGGAUUAGAUACCCUGGUAGUCCACGCCGUAAACGAUGAGUGCUAAGUGUUAGGGGGUUUCCGCCCCUUAGUGCUGCAGCUAACGCAUUAAGCACUCCGCCUGGGGAGUACGACCGCAAGGUUGAAACUCAAAGGAAUUGACGGGGACCCGCACAAGCGGUGGAGCAUGUGGUUUAAUUCGAAGCAACGCGAAGAACCUUACCAAAUCUUGACAUCCUCUGACCCCUCUAGAGAUAGAGUUUUCCCCUUCGGGGGACAGAGUGACAGGUGGUGCAUGGUUGUCGUCAGCUCGUGUCGUGAGAUGUUGGGUUAAGUCCCGCAACGAGCGCAACCCUUAAGCUUAGUUGCCAUCAUUAAGUUGGGCACCCUAAGUUGACUGCCGGUGACAAACCGGAGGAAGGUGGGGAUGACGUCAAAUCAUCAUGCCCCUUAUGAUUUGGGCUACACACGUGCUACAAUGGACAAUACAAAGGGCAGCGAAACCGCGAGGUCAAGCAAAUCCCAUAAAGUUGUUCUCAGUUCGGAUUGUAGUCUGCAGCUCGACUACAUGAAGCUGGAAUCGCUAGUAAUCGUAGAUCAGCAUGCUACGGUGAAUACGUUCCCGGGUCU
rnacentral:rRNA from 1 species